rnacentral:rRNA from 1 species
UUCGCUAUGUUGUGUUAUGCUUUCCAGCACCACACUAAAGACCUAGUUACAUGUUGUCCAUUUGUUGAAAAUAAAUAUGACUUUACAACCGGUAGCAUUGGAUCCCUUGGCACAUCAUUCGAUGAAGAACGUUGCAAAAUGCGAUAAGUGAUGUGAUAUGCAAGUCCAAAACUUAUACGUGAAUCAUCGAGUUUUUGAACGCAUUGCACCCUCCCCACAAGGGAGUGGUAUGCCCCUGUGAGCGCACCUAUACUGUUCGGAUUUCUGCCUUUGCAUAGGUAUGAUCCGGGUUCGGGAUUCAUGGCCAGUCUAUUGUAGACAUGACCACGCUUCUUUAGAUACGCCAAUACAGCCGGAGCUUGUUGUGAGUAGCAAGUUUCUUUGAGCAAAGGCAUCUUCGCUCUAGACUAUAUGUCCAGCAGCAGCACCUCUAGCCUUUAGGCUAGUUGUAAUUGAUUUUGGUGCCUCACUGUGGCAAGACAACCCGCUAGACUUAAGCAUAUUAAUCAGCGGAGGAAAAGAAACUAACCAGGAUUCCCUUAGUAACUGCGAGUGAAGA